GAUGAAGAACGCAGUGAAAUGCGAUAAGUAAUGUAAAUUGCAGAAUUCAGUGAAUCAUCGAAUCUUUGAACGCACAUUGCGCCCCUUGGUAUUCCGAGGGGCAUGCCUGUUCGAGCGUCAUUAUAACCCCUCAAGCUCAGCUUGGUGUUGGGGCCUGCUGCACUGGCAGCCCUUAAAAUCAGUGGCGGCGCCAUCUGGCUCUAAGCGUAGUAAUUCUUCUCGCUAUGGAGUCCUGGUGGAUGCUUGCCAUCAACCCCCAAUUUUUCUAUGGUUGACCUCGGAUCAGGUAGGGAUACCCGCUGAACUUAAGCAUAUCAAUAAGCGGAGGA
rnacentral:misc_RNA from 1 species